UCCAUACGGUGUGAAGUUCUCACCUCUUCCUUAGGAAUGUUUUCAUGGAAAAGUUUGAGAAGUACUAGAUUAGAUCAUCUUGAUGGUUCCUUUUGGCUCUUACAUUUGGGAGCUUAAUUCACAACUGUAAGGUCUCUUUGCCCCCUUAGUAAAGGCCAGCUUCCUUGGCGUAGAAUUAAUGACCUUCUGCAAGAGUCACUGACCCCAUCCUAACUGCUUGGUCAUCCCUGUUCUCCUCUCCCUGAUUCCCAUCUUGGUCGAUUUUUAUCUUCCUCGGACUUGCACCUGCCCAUCUCCCCUGUCCUCUUCUCCCUGAUUCCCAUCUUGGUCGAUUUUUAUCUUCCUCGGACUUGCACCUGUCCAUCUUCCCUGUCCUCUUCUCCCUGAUUCCCAUCUUGGUCGAUUUUUAUCUUCCUCAGACUUGCACCUGCCCAUCUUCCCUGUCCUCUUCUCCCUGAUUCCCAUCUUGGUCGAUUUUUAUCUUCCUCGGACUUGCACUUGCCCAUCUUCCCUGUCCUCUUCUCCCCCAGGGAUGACUACAUCCACUUACUAGAGCCCUUCUCAUCCUGCCAGUGAGUUCCAGCCAAAAACUGACUGAUUUCAAUGGCAAUUACUGCUUCUGCUGCUAACAUGUAACAAGUACAAGCUUGAAGUGUUUCCAUGUUACUUUUCUCCAUCUCAGAUGCUACAGUGAAUGGAUCUUAUCUUCUUCAGUUUUUUUAAUUCCUCCAUAGCAAAGAACGCCAUGCUUUGCAGAGACCCAAAAGCCUACCAGCUCCAUUCAUGAAGAGGAUUCAGUACAUGUGUGGACGUGGGAGAUGAGCCAGAGCUGAGACCGUGAACACUUGGGGACUUGGGAGGCAUUAGCAGGGGCUCUCUCAUUUAGCACCGUAUAACCCACAUUCUCCCAGAUUGGGCUGGUGUUCCCACCCAUCAGACUGUGUGUGUGGCGGUCCCGUGUGUGUGUGUGACUCAGCACACGUGUGGAACUUACGGACGAGGACAAUGCUCACUCCCUGAUAGGACAAGAUGUUGCUUUCUGAUUAGCCCUCAGAUUGUGGUGGUGAGUGCUUCAGCCUCAUUCAGCUUCUUGUCGACCCACAUUAGGCUCUGAAGCAACACUGAAGACACGCCUAUCAAAAGCAGUCUGCUCAGAGUGCAUUGCCCUGAUAACUUCAUAUAUUAAAGUAAAAUCGUCACCUUCUUCAGUUUGGUCAUCGAAACUUUUGGUCUUAGCUGCAAGGAGGACUUAAAUUAUAUAAGUGUCCGUCUUCUAGAAUAUUUCUGAGAUGAAGCAAUGCUCCCUGAUUCUCAACUUUUCAAUGGAGUGUAAUAGCAGGUAGUACAGUUAAUAAGUCCGACUGUUGUAUGCCAAAGUGGUUCAUGAAAAUCUUUAUGUUUU